rnacentral:rRNA from 1 species
GAUGAACGCUGGCGGCGUGCCUAAUACAUGCAAGUCGAGCGAAUGGAUUAAGAGCUUGCUCUUAUGAAGUUAGCGGCGGACGGGUGAGUAACACGUGGGUAACCUGCCCAUAAGACUGGGAUAACUCCGGGAAACCGGGGCUAAUACCGGAUAACAUUUUGAACCGCAUGGUUCGAAAUUGAAAGGCGGCUUCGGCUGUCACUUAUGGAUGGACCCGCGUCGCAUUAGCUAGUUGGUGAGGUAACGGCUCACCAAGGCAACGAUGCGUAGCCGACCGGAGGAGGUGAUCCGCCACCGUGGGACUGGAACACGGCCCAGACGCCUACGGGGGGCAGCACGAGGGAAUCUUCCGCAAUGGACGAAAGUCUGACGGAGCAACGCCGCGUGAGUGAUGAAGGCUUUCUGGUCGUAAAACUCUGUUGUUAGGGAAGAACAAGUGCUAGUUGAAUAAGCUGGCACCUUGACGGUACCUAACCAGAAAGCCACGGCUAACUACGUGCCAGCCGCCGCAGUAA